AUUGAACGCUGGCGGCAGGCCUAACACAUGCAAGUCGAACGAGUGGCGGACGGGUGAGUAAUGUCUGGGAAACUGCGUGAUGGAGGGGGAUAACCACUGAAAACUGUAGCUAAUACCGCAUACCAUCGGAUGUGCCCAGAUGGGAUUAGCUAGUAGGUGGGGUAAUGGCUCAUCUAGGCGACGAUCCCUAGCUGGUCUGAGAGGAUGACCAGCCACACGUGAACGGAGACACGGUCCAGACUCCUACGGGAGGCAGCAGUGGGGAAUAUUGCACAAUGGGCGCAAGCCUGAUGCAGCCAUGCCGCGUGUAUGAAGAAGGCCUUCGGGUUGUAAAGUACUUUCAGCGGGGAGGCGUUACCCGCAGAAGAAGCACCGGCUAACUCCGUGCCAGUAGCCGCGGUAAUUC
rnacentral:rRNA from 1 species